rnacentral:ncRNA from 1 species
AAUAACCAAAAAUAACACUUGGGCUAAGGGUCAAAUUAGUAAUUUUUCUUACAUCUCCCCCCCCCCGGAGCCCAGGUAUCAUAUACGCCCCCAAAAUAAAGAGCAUG